AGAUGUUAAAAGCAAGAGACAUGGGAGAGCAUCAUUCCUUUGAGAUUUUAUAACUCAAACCAACUUUGGAGUUGUCUGAUUUGGAGAGUCAUCAUUCUUGGUCUUCCCUCUUAAAGGCCACUGAUGAAGAACAGGCGGUGACUGGGAUGAAUCCUGGUCAGAGAGGAGUUCUUUCCCCUAAACUGAUGCAGCGGUGGUUUUAAAGGAGGACGCUGCCCUGGAUGAUGUAGAAGAUGUCACAUGCUGUGCUGAUGGGGUUUCUUCAUGAUUACAUCAGUUAUGCUAAAGAGAUCAUGAAAAUUGACUGUGAUGCAUGAUCUGUAUUCAUGGACUAUGAAACAAACUGUAAGUGUAUAAUUUGUUAAAAAAAAAAAAAAAGUUAAAUGCUUUUUCUGUGUUGUUUAGUAGAAGAGUUUACACUCUGUCAUUCAUACACCUGCUCACAUUCUUU